rnacentral:rRNA from 1 species
AUUGAACGCUGGCGGCAUGCCUUACACAUGCAAGUCGAACGGUAACGCGGGGCAACCUGGCGACGAGUGGCGAACGGGUGAGUAAUGCAUCGGAACGUGCCCAGUAGUGGGGGAUAGCCCGGCGAAAGCCGGAUUAAUACCGCAUACGACCUACGGGCGAAAGGGGGGGAUCGCAAGACCUCUCGCUAUUGGAGCGGCCGAUGUCAGAUUAGGUAGUUGGUGGGGUAAAGGCCUACCAAGCCGACGAUCUGUAGCUGGUCUGAGAGGACGACCAGCCACACUGGGACGGAGACACGGCGCAGACUCGUACGGGGAGGCAGCAGUGGGGAAUUUUGGACAAUGGGCGCAAGCCUGAUCCAGCCAUGCCGCGUGCGGGAAGAAGGCCUUCGGGUUGUAAACCGCUUUUGUCAGGGAAGAAAUCUUCUGGGUUAAUACCUCGGGAGGAUGACGGUACCUGAAGAAUAAGCACCGGCUAACUACGUGCCAGCAGCCGCAGUAAAAC